rnacentral:lncRNA from 10 species
UAGACAAUAAUAUACAAGAAAUUUCUCUAAGAGGAGAGAAAGGAGAGAGAUCAUGGCAGAUGGGACAGAGGCCUCAUACAGAUUUGUUGAAUUGCAACAUUAUGGGAGGUGCAAGUCACAUUUUUGGAAGAACAAGUCACAUUAUGUUGGAAUAUAUUUCUACAAGUUAUUAGGGCAGAAAAGCUCAAGAAAACUCAAGUACCAAGAGGAGUAGGAAAAUCC